UCUCAAGCGUUGUUCGGAUUCAUUGGGCGUAAAGGGUGCGUAGGCGGCGCGGUAAGUCGGGUGUGAAAUCUCGGAGCUUAACUCCGAAACUGCAUUCGAUACUGCCGUGCUUGAGGACUGGAGAGGAGACUGGAAUUUACGGUGUAGCGGUGAAAUGCGUAGAUAUCGUAAGGAAGACCAGUGGCGAAGGCGGGUCUCUGGACAGUUCCUGACGCUGAGGCACGAAGGUCAGGGGAGCAAACGGG
rnacentral:rRNA from 1 species